rnacentral:rRNA from 1 species
ACACGAGGAAACUUGUGCUAAUACCGGAUAAGUCUUUACGGAGAAAGCUUUAUGCACCAUUGGAUGAGCCUGCACUUGAUUAGUUUGUUGGUGGGGUAAUGGCCUACCAAGACUGUGAUCAAUAGCUGAUUUGAGAGGAUGAUCAGCCACAUUGGGACUGAGACACGGCCCAAACUCCUACGGGAGGCAGCAGUGGGGAAUCUUGCACAAUGGAGGAAACUCUGAUGCAGCGAUGCCGCGUGAGUGAAGAAGGCCUUUGGGUUGUAAAGCUCUUUCGUCGGGGAAGAAAAUGACUGUACCCGAAUAAGAAG